UUCUGCUGAAAACAUAGUCAUAAAUCAGGUCACGGACAGUAAGAUCAGAAAUAAUCGAAUGAAAAUUGGCAUUAUGAUCUGCGUUUCACCUUUAGCUCCAGCAGCUACGGCUGCAAAGGUUGGACCGAACGAAGCCUCCAUCCUGCUCUGCAAAAAACUGAGUCAGCUGUGGGGCUGCUGGGAAUGAUGGCUGUUGCUGUUUUACUGGAUUAUCUAUUGUCGUGACACGUCUGGCUGCUGCAUGGAGAGGACACGGACGGGAGCAGUCGCGUCGUUGCCUAGGCCUGGAAAGACACAUGGGAUCAAAUCAAAGAACUGUUCUCACACUAUUGCAAUCCAAAAGGUGUCGGGCAGAAAAAAUGAAAAAAAAACUUUUGAGACUGCACUUUGUAAACUUGCACUACAGAGGUGUUGCAAAAAUGUUGGUGCCUCUUAGCUAUUGAAACAUUUUGGGUUUGAGAUAGAAGACUGUGCUGACGUCAAGAUAAUUCGAUGUUGCAACUCAGAGACAAAAGGAGAGAAGGAAGUGACAGCCAAUAAACAGCCACCCGAACAAUAACCAGACUCGGGCUCGAAUAGAGGCAUGCAUACUGUCAGCUGAAACGACAAAGGUUUUUGACAGCCAAAAUUAACCAGGACAUUGUACCGAUCGCUCCGCAAAGCGCGUCAUCGAGUAUUUGCGCAACCGGGAAAUUCCCGUAAAAGGGGAACCUCUCACCCCAAAAAAAGGGGGGCGGAUACGCAUAACGGACCAAAGUUGGAGCCUGACAGCUAACCCAAAUACCAGUGACUUUAAAUUUGAGCACGUCAAACGCAAUCGGUACUUACAACAUAAACAAUAACAUCUUAUUAGCUGACAUCUUGUCCAGCAACGAUUUCUAACCGCGAUAAUGAAGUAGCUAACGCUAGCCUUGUUGGCUAGCUUAAGUUAGCUAAUGUUUUCUACUAGCAAUCACAACAAAAGCAAAUCUUAAGAUGCUCUGCUCGCUGUCAACUGUUGGGUGACGUUUUCCCGCAGCUAGUAAGAUAUUAUUCGGAAGAAAUGUCGGGUAUAAUAUACGCACAUACCAUUGUUUCAGCAACAGCGCUGCUCCAAGUUUGCAGACGAAUUCCGAAAUUCCUGGCCAAGCUGAUCACCCGCACACACGCUGGCGAAUGCCGAAAGGCAUGCUGGGAAAUGUAGUGGAACGUACGCUAUUGUUUGUUAGCCACGCUUAUUUUCCUUGUAUGAUUUUCCUCUCCCCUGUAGUUGAACUACACUACCCAUGAGUGACUUUGCGAAAAGGCCAUUGGAUUUGGAAGUGUCUAUAAAGGCGCAAGUCCCAAAUAAGCUGCUAUCGUUUCCAUGUAGAGUUGUCAUUGGUCCUUGCAAACAUCGAACCAUGAUGCGGCAAACUCAGCUACAUUUACGGGAAACGACGCUGAAUGAAAAAUGAACCAAUUAGGAAUUGUAAAAGAUGCACGCACAAAAAAAAACUUUGUCAUAUAAAGAAAUACAUUAUAAUUCAUUUGACAGUGGCAUCCAAAAACGGGUAUAGAUCAUUUAUCUUUUUGUCCUCUGAAUGGUCUUUUUGUGGUCUUCGGAAGGUACCUGUCAAAAUAAAGCCGUGAGUGACUUGUUCUUGCCAA